UACGAAGGGUGCAAGCGUUACUCGGAAUUACUGGGCGUAAAGGGUGCGUAGGUGGUUCUUUAAGUCUGCUGUGAAAGCCCCGGGCUCAACCUGGGAAUGGCAGUGGAUACUGGAGAGCUAGAGUGCGGUAGAGGGUAGUGGAAUUCCCGGUGUAGCAGUGAAAUGCGUAGAGAUCGGGAGGAACACCAGUGGCGAAGGCGGCUACCUGGGCCAGCACUGACACUGAAGCACGAAAGCGUGGGGAGCAAACAGG
rnacentral:rRNA from 1 species